rnacentral:rRNA from 1 species
UACGAAGGUGGCAAGCGUUGUUCGGAUUCACUGGGCGUACAGGGUGUGUAGGCGGUUUGGUAAGCCUUCUGUUAAAGCUUCGGGCCCAACCCGGAAAGCGCAGAGGGUACUGCCAGGCUAGAGGACGGGAGAGGAGCGCGGAAUUCCCGGUGUAGCGGUGAAAUGCGUAGAGAUCGGGAGGAAGGCCGGUGGCGAAGGCGGCCUGCUGGGCAGUUACUGACACUGAGGCGCGACAGCGUGGGGAGCAAACAGG